GUUGAUACACUGGUUUUCAUCCAAUCACAGAAGUUAAGCAAUGUUGACCCUGGUCAGUACGUAGAUGGGUGACUGCUUGGGAAUACGAGGUGCUGUAA